rnacentral:rRNA from 1 species
CCUACGGGGAGCAGCAGUGGGGAAUAUUGCACAAUGGGGGAAACCCUGAUGCAGCGACGCCGCGUGAGUGAAGAAGUAUUUCGGUAUGUAAAGCUCUAUCAGCAGGGAAGAAAAAAGACGGUACCUGACUAAGAAGCCACGGCUAACUACGUGCCAGCAGCCGCGGUAAUACGUAGGGGGCAAGCGUUAUCCGGAUUUACUGGGUGUAAAGGGAGCGUGGACGGUAUGGCAAGUCUGAAGUGAAAGCCCAGGGCUUAACCCUGGGACUGCUUUGGAAACUGUUAGACUAGAGUGCUGGAGAGGUAAGUGGAAUUCCUAGUGUAGCGGUGAAAUGCGUAGAUAUUAGGAGGAACACCAGUGGCGAAGGCGGCCUACUAAACUGCCACUGACAUUGAUGCUCGAAAGUGUGGGUAUCAAACAGGAUUAGAUACCCCGGUAGUC